AAUUUACACUGCGAUUAAGGAGAUUUUGGACUCCUAGGUUACAAAUGACGUGUGUUGACCUUGAGGUUUAAGCCAUGGAUAUCGUUGAUAUUCCAUCCAAGUUCAUGAUGAAGGCGACACUCACCAUCUGCAGCUUCCAAAUCCAUUAACAACACUAUAGCCACCAAGGCCAAGUGACAUUUUUUAUUUGUUUGACAUUUUUUAAUAAACUAAAAGAUAGAGGUAGUACUAUUGAUGUUUUACAUAGUGUUUCAUCCAGCAGAUAGUUCUUCUAUUUGAUGUUUUAUUACCAUCGAUUUCUACAUAUGCUUAAUAUAGUGUUCUACAAACUGUUUUCUGGGUCUAGAAGCCAAUGCUAGCC